AGACCUGCGCACGCACACACACACACACACGCACACACACGGUCAGUACAGUUCAUCUGUCAGCCUGAGAGUACGCCGGAAAACAAAGUCAAACAGGAAGUCCAGCAGCAAGCGACAUUUACAUAUACUUUUCCUAUCCAUUAGCCUGAAAGGAGAGUUGACCUUACUCGUGGCUAGUGUGGCUUGUUGAGGCACUGUCUAGUCAACGUUUGUGUAAUUACGUGUGUAGAAGAGUCGUGUUGGGCAAGAAUGUGUGGCGUGAUGCAGCAAUAUGUAGAAGGGUCAUGUAGUAUCAAGUGUGUUGAUGAAUGCGGGAGUGAGUGAGUGAGAGUGUGUGGGGGAGUGAGUGAGUGAGGGUGAGUGAGUGAGUGAGUGAGUGAGUACUUUGAGCAGCGGGUCGGCGUGCUCCAGGUACCAGCCCGCCACGGCGUGUCCCGCCUCGUGGUAGGCCACCGUCUUCUUCUCCUCAGGCUGAAGGACCUGGGUC